rnacentral:rRNA from 1 species
CCUACGGGUGGCAGCAGUGGGGAAUAUUGGACAAUGGGGGCAACCCUUAUCCAGCGACGCCGCGUGAGUGAAGAAGGCCUUCGGAUUGUAAACCACUGUCAGCGGGGACGAUAAUGAUGGUAUUCAUGGCGGAAGCCACGGCCAACACCGUGCCAGCAGCCGCGGGCAUACGCAGGGGGCAAGCGUUGUCCGGAAUUACUGGGUGUAAAGGGAGCGUAGGCGGGAUGUCAAGUCAGAAGUGAAAAUUAUGGGCUCAACUCAUAAACUGCUUUUGAGACUGAUAUGCUUGAGUGAAGUAGAGGGGAGCAGAAUUCCUGGUGUAGCGGUGAAAUGCGUAGAGAUUUGGAGGAACACCAGUGGCGAAGGCGGCUUCCUGGAC